UUUAUUCAGCUGAUGAUGACUCCAAAGGCAAAGAGUUCCUGGAAGGUAACCCGUGGUGCUUCACGAUGUAUGGAUCAAGAAGCCCAGAGAACUACCACAACAGGUGGUUAAACAAUGGCCAUCCUCCCUGGACUCCACACAUCUCCUGACAGGGCUGCAGCAGCAUGUGGGAACAGUUCAGCUGUGAAACCAGACAAGGACAUUAAGAAAGAAAAGAAGGGCCUGCUGAAGCUCAUCUCUGGUGCCUCCACCAAAUGUGAGCACCCCUGCCAGCCUCACCUAGUUUGGACAUGGAGCUGGGUGCAGGUCAGGUGACCUGCAGGAAGCACUGGGUCCUGAGUUGUUGCUAGUAGGUAAUCACAGCUGGUCUGGCUCCUACCCCACAGAUGGAGAUGGUCCAGUGGUCUCAGGGACAGUAGCCACAGCCCAAGAUGUUUUCAUAGCAAGGCAAGCUCCCUGGACUCCUCAGUGCCCACUGCUCCAGCACCUCAGUGGGACUGCUCCUCCCUGGUUCCUGUCAUGCUUGAGGCCAGACCUGUUAACUGUGAAAGGCACAGGGUGGUGCUUUCCUAUCCUCCUCAGAGUGAGGCAGAGCUUGAACUUGAAGAAUAUAUUGUGUUCUUUCAUAAAAAUGAGAGUAUGGUGGUUCAAAGGCACAUUACAAAGAAUUGGAAAGAUCGGCCUUUUGGAGGGGAGCUUUGUGAAAAUAUACGAGAAGAUUCCAUGUCAAGAAAGGGUAACAUCACAUCACGUGAGUAAAGAGCACAGAGGAGGGUCAUAGUAAGAGUACAGAUGUGGAAUUCCAGAUCUCCAGGAGCUGAGCAGAGGUGGGCACCUGACUCCAGAACCCGGGCCUGGCUACCCCUGUGGGCAGAGUGAAAGAGGUACCUUGUGUGGUUUCUGUCCCUCUGGAUUCUGAUGUGUGAAGUGUGCCUUGUACUGUUUAAUGAACUACACAGAGAAAUGCCUAUAUUAUGAAGAUGUAUAACUAAAACGGACAAUUGUUUACAAGGCUUAACUGAUUUAUUUGCCUUUUUAAAACUUAAACUUUCUUGUAAUUGCAAAUUCUUUGAAUUUUGAUUUUUAAAAAUUACUAAUUUAUGAAAUGAUGGCUAAGAAUAAGUUAGAUUUUUCUCCUGUUGACGUGAAGAGAUUCUUUUUGGAAUAGUCUGUUCCUUCUCCUCUUCUUGCUGCCCUCCUCCCCUGGUUAUAUUUUGCUUCUUUUAGGCAAAAAUGCCAGUUUCCCAAACAGACAACUGAAUCGGUACCAACAGGGAUCUGGGGCAGGGAGACAGUGGCUCCUGAAGAGAGGAGUCAGUGGGCCCCAUCUUUCUGUUUUGAUCAGAAAUCCGCCCAAAGACCUAAUCCUCGAUUUUACAUUGUGGAUGUUUCAUUUUUCCUAGAAUGAAGUGGGUAAAGUAAGAAGAAAAAUUAAGCACAGCCAUUGACUAAAAAUACAUCAUUGCUAACACAAGCAGCUCACUGCUUUGGUUGAAAAGGAAGAGAAAUUGAAGUUGUAGCUGCUGUGUGUGAAUGACUUGGAAACACAAUUCCCAUUUUACCCUCAAGUGAUCUGCCUGCUCACAACACAGUAAAAAUUGUAGAGACAGUGGGGGUAAGAGAUGCAGUCGUAUUGAAGUCAAAGGCUGUAAAGAACAAGAGAAAGUUUCCAUUCAUCCACUGUGAGUCCCCUGCCAUCUUGCAUGUGUUACUGGAUUUACACAGUGAUGUGGACGGUGCACGGUGUGUAUAUGCCAUUGCCAUUAUUACUCAGAAUUGAUAGAUACAGGAGGUUUAAACAAUAAACAGCAUUCUCUUCUCUACUCCACCACCAUUACUGACCAAGAUAUCCUGAGUGUGCUUGCUCUGUCUCUGAAGCCAUGUAUUAGCCAGCACACAAGUCGUUAGUUAAAAGGCCGACUGAUGUGCCAGGCAAGUUUAUCCAGGAGACCACUGGCUUCUGUGACUGUGGUGAAGCUCUUCAGGACUUGCUGGGAGUGUCUGUACCCACACCUUGCAAAUGCUGCAGGGUCGAACCAAGUCCAUCUCUUUAUAGAAAUCCUGUGACAUCUGGUGGUGUCUUCUUCCAGUUUCAUCUCAACCAAGGGUCUGGGUAGUCCUGGAAACAGCUGGAGGUAGACAUCCUGGGAGUGAAUGAGACUGUUCCACGGUUCUCUUGUGGACAGCUGAGAGCACCAUUUGAAUUUCUUCUCAUCUCCACUGGAAUGUUCUGCUUUGAUCUUCAUUAUCUACAAUGUUCUUUUCUUCUGAUCUCAAUCUGAUAUUGAGACCACAGCCCAAUCAGUUUUUUGUAUUUUCCCUGGCUGUAAGCCCACUGGAACUUCUAUUUCCUUCAUUUUAUUAUACUGGCAACCCACCAUGAUGUGCAGAAGAAACUUCAGGAUGAGAUUGACAGAGCUCUGCCCAGUAUGAUAAAUGUCUACCAUGAAGGGAAGCCAGGACAGAAGCUCAGAAAGAAACCUGGAGGCAGGAACAGAAGCAGAGGUCAUGGAGGAACACUGCAUAUUGGAUUGCUCCUCAUGGGUUGCCCAGC